rnacentral:rRNA from 1 species
AGAGUUUGAUCAUGGCUCAGGAUGAACGCUGGCGGCGUGCCUAAUACAUGCAAGUCGAACGAAGAUCUAGCUUGCUAGAUCUUAGUGGCGAACGGGUGAGUAAUACAUAAAUAAUCUGCCCAUUGGACUGGGAUAACUAUUGGAAACGAUAGCUAAUACCGGAUAGGUGAUUUGAAGGCAUCUUCGAAUCAUUAAAGUAGGGUCACUACACCAAUGGAUGAGUUUAUGGCGCAUUAGUUAGUUGGCGGGGUAACGGCCCACCAAGACGAUGAUGCGUAGCCGACCUGAGAGGGUGACCGGCCACACUGGGACUGAGACACGGCCCAGACUCCUACGGGAGGCAGCAGUAGGGAAUUUUCGGCAAUGGGCGCAAGCCUGACCGAGCAACGCCGCGUGAGUGAUUAAGGCCUUCGGGUUGUAAAGCUCUGUUGUAAGGGAAGAACAUUCAGGAUAGGAAAUGAUCUUGAACUGACGGUACCUUACCAGAAAGCCACGGCUAACUACGUGCCAGCAGCCGCGGUAAUACGUAGGUGGCAAGCGUUAUCCGGAAUUAUUGGGCGUAAAGGGUGCGUAGGCGGUUUAUUAAGUCUAUGGUGAAAGUGCGGGGCUCAACCCCGUAUGGCCAUAGAAACUAGUAGACUUGAGUGCAGGAGAGGGCAAUGGAAUUCCAUGUGUAGCGGUAAAAUGCGUAGAUAUAUGGAGGAACACCAGUGGCGAAGGCGGUUGCCUGGCCUGUAACUGACGCUGAGGCACGAAAGCGUGGGGAGCAAAUAGGAUUAGAUACCCUAGUAGUCCACGCUGUAAACGAUGAAUACUAAGUGUUGGAGAAAUUCAGUGCUGCAGUUAACGCAAUAAGUAUUCCGCCUGGGGAGUAUGCACGCAAGUGUGAAACUCAAAGGAAUUGACGGGACCCCGCACAAGCGGUGGAUUAUGUUGUUUAAUUCGACGCAACGCGAAGAACCUUACCAGGCCUUGACAUACUCGGCAAAGCUCUAGAGAUAGAGGUGGAGGUUAUCCGGGAUACAGGUGGUGCAUGGUUGUCGUCAGCUCGUGUCGUGAGAUGUUGGGUUAAGUCCCGCAACGAGCGCAACCCUUGUCUUUAGUUACCAUCAUUAAGUUGGGGACUCUAGAGAGACUGCCGGUGAUAAACCGGAGGAAGGUGGGGAUGACGUCAAAUCAUCAUGCCCCUUAUGGCCUGGGCUACAAACGUAAUACAAUGGCGUAUACAAAGGGAUGCGAAAGGGUGACCUGGAGCAAAACUCACAAAGUACGUCUCAGUUCAGAUUGGAGUCUGCAACUCGACUCCAUGAAGGCGGAAUCGCUAGUAAUCGCGGAUCAGCAUGCCGCGGUGAAUACGUUCUCGGGGUUUGUACACACCGCCCGUCAAACCAUGAGAGUUGGUAAUACCCGAAGCCGGUGGCCUAACCUAGUAAUAGGAGGGGGCCGUCGAAGGUAGGAUCGAUGAUUAGGGUUAAGUCGUAACAAGGUAUCCCUACGGGAACGUGCGGCUGGAUCACCCUCCUUAAGCUUGGAAU